AAGCGAACAAAUAAAAAAUUUAAAUAAUAUGGUAAUUGUAUUUGCUGCUAAGCACUUGAAAGGUGCUAAACGUGUGCUUUUUCUGCUGCUCAAAUAAGAGCUCAAAAGGGUGAUUUAAAAAGCGCUUAAUAUGUGCUAGUUUUUGAGCACUGGUGAACCCUAGGACAUAUCAAUGUUAAUUGAACGCUUAGUAAUGAAUAUUUUGCAUUUAUUAUUGUUUGUGUUCUUGGCUAAUCUGAAUAGACAAUGUUUGGUCACUCCGCGGGACGAGGGAGUAUGAACGCUCGUCGCGGGCACGGGGACGCUGUGUCUGACAGCACGAUCGCGUCGCGGCACGGAUAACUACGGGUAGCACGGUGCCGGACCACAGGCGAUACAGGACUGUGCGGGGCGCUAAAAAGAUGCUUUGCCGUCGUUGCGUUCGGCUCUGCCUCCGUUAUGUUCGGCUCUGUCGGCGUCGCAGUCGUCUGCAUGAUGAUUUUGUGCCAGUGCUGAAUUGCUGCAGGGAAUGUAAAAUAUACACUUGAAUCUUAGGUCUACGAGGCUUACGGCAAGGUGAUCACCAGCCAGGCCAAUGAUGCCCAACCGGCCGGAGCCAAUGCCUUCGCCGAGAAGGCUGACGAGGGCACAGAGAUAACUUCACUUCCACCAGGAGAACGCUGGCAUCAAGGAGCUCUAGUGAAUUACCGGCGAGGAGUGAUGACAUCAGCAUUUCCGUGCUUAUGUUUAUCAAGCACUGGAGGAGGAAAAGUGCUAAAUGGCCUGUAAAAGCCCUCCAGGAACUGUACAUAAAUAAAUAAUAAA